AGAGGAUUGAGCAGUGAGGCUGCAGGGGCAUGUUCUAUACACCAAAACUGCUUCAUUAAGCUAAAGUUGUUCAGGUGACAAUAGUGUUCCUUUUAAGAAUUGUGCCUUCGUAGAUUGUGCACAGUGUUGGUGGUUAUCCAGAACAUAUCGAUUUCAUUAGUGAUGUUUGCUACUUGGUAGCAGGGCUGUCAGAAUGGUCAUUAAAACCAGAGAAGAGCGCAAUUGAUAGGAAGGAGCAUGCUGCUCUAGGCUGCCAGAUAAUCAACUGAUUUCUGUUCAUUCUUGAGAUCAUGUGCAUUUCUAUAACUAUUUAACAAUUCUACUUCGUAAUUUAUAUCAAUAUUUCCAAGAGUUUAGAAAACAUUAACCUGCAAUAAAGUCUCUACAUUUAUUUUAGACAAAAAAAAAACUAUUACCAUGUCACCUCCCCAUCUCACCAGUUUAGAAAUUCAACAACCCGCUAAUUUAUUAUUGAUUUGGGUGCCACUUGGGUUUAUUGACAUUAGAAAUGAAUCCUGAAAUGGG